rnacentral:rRNA from 1 species
AGUGAACGCUGGCGGCGUGCUUAACACAUGCAGGUCGAACGAGAACGGGUUAUAGCUUGCUAUAAUUGUCAGCUAAGUGGCGCACGGGUGAGUAAUGUAUAGGUAAUAUUCCUCUUACUAAGGGAUAACAAAUGGAAACGUUUGCUAAUACCUUAUACUCCUUAUUAACAGAAGUUAAUAAGGGAAAGAUUUCUUGGUCAGAGGUAGCCUGUAUUGUAUAAGUUAGUUUGUGAGUUAAUUGCUUACCAAGACUAUGAAACAUAACUGGUUUGAGAGGAGGAUCAGUCACACUGGAACUGAGACACGGUCCAGACUCCUACGGGAGGCAGCAGUGGGGAAUAUUGCACAAUGGACGAAAGUCUGAUGCAGCAACGCCGCGUGGAGGAUGACACAUUUCGGUGCGUAAACUCCUUUUAUAUGAGAAGAUAAUGACGGUAUUAUAUGAAUAAGCACCGGCUAACUACGUGCCAGCCGCCGCGGUAA